rnacentral:rRNA from 2 species
UGGGGAAUAUUGGGCAAUGGGGGAAACCCUGACCCAGCAACGCCGCGUGAAGGAAGAAGGCCUUCGGGUUGUAAACUUCUUUUACCAGGGACGAAGAACGUGACGGUACCUGGAGAAAAAGCAACGGCUAACUACGUGCCAGCAGCCGCGGUAAUACGUAGGUUGCAAGCGUUGUCCGGAUUUACUGGGUGUAAAGGGCGUGUAGGCGGAGAUGCAAGUUGGGAGUGAAAUCCCGGGGCUCAACCCCGGAACUGCUUUCAAAACUGCAUCCCUUGAGUAUCGGAGAGGCAAGCGGAAUUCCUAGUGUAGCGGUGAAAUGCGUAGAUAUUAGGAGGAACACCAGUGGCGAAGGCGACUUUCUGGACUGUAACUGACACUGAGGCACGAAAGCGUGGGGAGCAAACAGG